CUCCGUCCGGGAUAACUAGCCGAAAGGUUAGCUAAUACCUGAUACGAUCGUUGAGCGGCAUCGCACGACGAUGAAAGCAGCAAUGCGCGGUUAGAGGGGGCUGCGGCCCAUUAGCUAGUUGGUGAGGUAAUGGCCCACCAAGGCAACGAUGGGUAGCUGGUCUGAGAGGACGACCAGCCACACUGGGACUGAGACACGGCCCAG
rnacentral:rRNA from 1 species